UUUUUAUUUGUAAUUUGGGAGAAAUAUUGUCUGUAGUUUAUAGAAUAAAACAACAAUGUUCAUUUUACUCAAACAUAAACCUAUAAAUAGCAAAAUCAGAGAAACUGAUUCAGAAACUGAAGUGAUCUCUUCAUUUUUUACAGAGCUGUAGAAGAGUGUAAGAGUGUAAAAUGUGUUGUAUCUCACGUCGUCUGCUGGAAUAAACGUGAGUUCAGUGGACUGAUGGAAAUUAAUAGAGCGUUUUCACCUGUAGACAAACGCUUACAGAAUUUCAGGAAAGAGAAUGAAUGAAUAAUGAAUUAUUUAUCCACUUUUUACUUGCGGGAAAGUAAUUCAUCCUCUGCCUGUAAUCCUGGUCCGCAGGCUGGCAGUAAGUGGAGUUAAAUAGCUGCUGCUGCUCGGCUUUUGUUUGACGUUGUGCAGCGUUGGUCUGUUCCUGAGGAGGAUAAUGGCUCAUUUGGCUGCAGCAGUUACUCUCUCUUCAGUGAACACAGAGCUGCUCUUCUGCUGCUCUUCUGCUGCUCUUCUACAAGAAUUUAAGCCUUUUGGUCAGAUUAAUCCCUUCUUUUGAGGAAAUAUGAACAGCCCCAACAAGUGUCAGACUGUUUAAUGAUAACGAUUGGCCAGUACGAUAAAUAGUAUUGAUUUUGUUAUCUGUAUUUUAAUUUUUGCACAUCAGUAAAAGCUGUGAUUACAUUGUGAAAACAAUGAACUCAAACUGCAUUACCCACAUUCACUAACAGAGGGCAGACUGCGCUUACGUGACAGAACGAGGCUGGAGGUAGAGCGAGGUAAAGUGAGAGUGAGCAAAAGUGAGGUAGACGGAUGUGAUGUAGAGUGAGGCAAGAGUGAGGUACAGUGAGGUAGAGUGAGGUACAGCAAGUAGAGUGAGUGUAAAGCAUGGUAGAGUGGGGUUAGAGUGAGGCUGAGUGAGGUAUAAUGAGUGUAUAGUAGAGUGUGUGCAGAGCGAGGUAGAGUGACGUACAGCAGGUACAGUGAGGUAGAUUGAGGGUACAGUUAGGUAUGGCAUAGUAGAGUGAGGUAGAGUGAGGUAGAUUGAGGGUACAGUUAGGUACGGCAUAGUAGAGUGAGGUAGAGUGAGGUAGAUUGAGGGUACAGUUAGGUACGGCAUAGUAGAGUGAGGUAGAUUGAGGGUACAGUUAGGUACGGCAUAGUAGAGUGAGGUAGAGUGAGGUAGAUUGAGGGUACAGUUAGGUACAGCAUAGUAGAGUGAGGUAGAGUGAGGUAGAUUGAGGGUACAGUUAGGUACGGCAUAGUAGAGUGAGGUAGAUUGAGGGUACAGUUAGGUACGGCAUAGUAGAGUGAGGUAGAGUGAGGUAGAUUGAGGGUACAGUUAGGUACGGCAUAGUAGAGUGAGGUAGAGUGAGGUAGAUUGAGGGUACAGUUAGGUACGGCAUAGUAGAGUGAGGUAGAGUGAGGUAGAUUGAGGGUACAGUUAGGUACGGCAUAGUAGAGUGAGGUAGAGUGAGGUAGAGUGAGGUAGAUUGAGGGUACAGUUAGGUAUGGCAUAGUAGAGUGAGGUAGAGUGAGGUAGAUUGAGGGUACAGUUAGGUACGGCAUAGUAGAGUGAGGUAGAGUGAGGUAGAUUGAGGGUACAGUUAGGUAUGGCAUAGUAGAGUGAGGUAGAGUGAGGUAGAUUGAGGGUACAGUUAGGUGAGGUACAUUGAGGGUAGCAUAGUAGAGUGUGUUAGAGUGAGGUAGAGUGAGGUACAAGAAGCUGAGUGAGGCAGAGUGAGGUACACUGAGUCAGAGAGAUGUAGAGUGUGUAUAGAGUGAGGUACAGCAAGCCAAGUGAGGUAGAGUGAGGGAAGAGUUAGGUACAGCAUAGUAGAGUGUGAUAGAGCGAGUGUAGAGUGAGGUACAGCAAAUAGAGUGAUUCAAAACGAGUUUAGAGUGAGGUAGAGUGAGAGUAGAGUGAGGAAAAGCAAGUAGAGUGAGGUAGAGUGAGGUAGAGUGAGGGUAGAGUGAGGAAAAGCAAGUAGAGUGAGGUAGAGUGAGGUAGAGUUAGGGUAGAGUGAGGAAAAGCAAGUAGAGUGAGGUAGAGUGAGGUAGAGUUAGGGUAGAGUGAGGAAAAGCAAGUAGAGUGAGGGUAGAGUUACAUUAACAUUCGUACUGAUCAGCCAUAACAUUAAAACCCUAAACCUCCAUUUUUUUUUAUUCCCUCUAUUGCCUCUAAAACAUUUUUAGCAGUGGAUCAUAUAAGUCCUAUAAGUUAAAUACAUGAAUUAUACCUGUUUUAUAUUUUCAUCAUAUUUUAAAGCUGCUGAAUUUAAGAAUUUGAAAGGUUGAAUCCAGGUUAUUUAAGCAGGGUUUGGUUCAGAUCACGGUUCCUGACGCCUCCAGCCGGAUAAUUAAACUCAUUCUCUUCUCUCCUCGCUGGUUUUAAUGUUAUGGCAGAUCGAUGGAUGCAUUUCCUGUCAACUCCAAUUAAGCCUCUCCUGCCCGCGGUUUUACCAGAGCGUUCUUUACGUAACCUCCGUCUGAAAGUGAUACUCGGCCGCGGCGCUAAUAUCCCCCGUCCGCCGUAAUUAAGCCCCGACAGAAAUGAAAAGGUGAUGGCAUCUCCGGAAUAAUGUGAAUCUUUCCCAGGAUUUCAGGAGAUAAUAAGGAGCUUUCUCCUGUCCAUUAUCCUCCCUAAUCUUUAGCUGCUAAUUAGCUAGCACGCUCAGCUAGACGGCGAAUCCGGUUCUGCGGUUCUGCCGGACCAGAUGUUCGCGGUGGAAUAAGGACUUUAGUUCUGGAAGUCAGGAGAGGAGAGAUGGAGGGAUUAGAAGUGGAGCAGAUGGAGAAAGUGUGGGAGAUCAGGAGGAAGUUAGCUAAUGCUAAUGCUAAUGCUGGUGGAGGAUUAGCAUGUUUAGUGUAGCUUUAAUGCGGUGUGACAAACGAAGCUUAUUUAAGCUUAUUUUAGAGUGAUUUCUUUAGCUUUUAUACUUUUUUAUACUUUUUUUUCACUUUUAUUUGAUUAUUAGAAAAAAAACAGAUAAAGGAAGGACUGAUCUAAUCUAACCUACAGUGGACUUUUGCUAAACUGUGACAAAAAUCUGAAGAAAUAAACAAGAGGAUGCG